AGAGUUUGAUCCUGGCUCAGAACGAACGCUGGCGGCAGGCUUAACACAUGCAAGUCGAACGAUGGCUUCGGCCAUAGUGGCGCACGGGUGAGUAACGCGUGGGAACCUGUCCUGUGGUAUGGGAUACCUCCGGGAAACUGGAGUUAAUACCGUAUAUCUCCUGCGGGAGAAAGAUUUAUCGCCAUAGGGUGGGCCCGCGUCCGAUUAGCUAGUUGGUGGGGUAAAGGCCUACCAAGGCUUCGAUCGGUAGCUGGUCUGAGAGGAUGAUCAGCCACACUGGGACUGAGACACGGCCCAGACUCCUACGGGAGGCAGCAGUGGGGAAUAUUGGACAAUGGGGGCAACCCUGAUCCAGCCAUGCCGCGUGAGUGAUGAAGGCCUUCGGGUUGUAAAGCUCUUUCAGGUGCGACGAUGAUGACGGUAGCACCAGAAGAAGCCCCGGCUAACUUCGUGCCAGCAGCCGCGGUAAUACGAAGGGGGCGAGCGUUGUUCGGAAUUACUGGGCGUAAAGGGCGCGUAGGCGGCGUACCAAGUCAGGCGUGAAAGCCCUGGGCUUACCCAGGAAUUGCGUUUGAGACUGGUAUGCUCGAGUGCAGGAGAGGUCGGCGGAAUUCCCAGUGUAGAGGUGAAAUUCGUAGAGAUUGGGAAGAACACCGGUGGCGUAGGCGGCCGACUGGACUGUAACUGACGCUGAGGCGCGAAAGCGUGGGGAGCAAACAGGAUUAGAUACCCUAGUAGUCC
rnacentral:rRNA from 1 species